rnacentral:rRNA from 1 species
UACGAAGGGGGCUAGCGUUGCUCGGAAUUAUUGGGCGUAAAGGGCUCGUAGGCGGUUUGUCGCGUCGGGAGUGAAAACCUUGGGCUUAACUCAGGGCUUGCUUUCGAUACGGGCAGACUAGAGGUAUGCAGGGGAGAACGGAAUUCCUGGUGUAGCGGUGAAAUGCGCAGAUAUCAGGAGGAACACCGGUGGCGAAGGCGGUUCUCUGGGCAUGAUCUGACGCUGAGGAGCGAAAGUGUGGGGAGCGAACAGG